rnacentral:rRNA from 1 species
ACRUSUUUCCUGAGAAACCCGAAAGGUCGAAGGAAGAAAUUCAUUCGCGUUUCGACGACGGCGUCGAGCGGUCGAGCGACGCGGGACGCCGACGACUUCGCGUUCCCGCGCGCCUUCCGUUCGUCGAACCGACGACGAACGCGUGCACUUUUCUUCUGGUAGGACGUCGCGAUCCGUUGGGCGUCAGUCUACGACGAGCGGUGGAGCCCGUCGGUCGCGUUUCGGCGCGACUAACGGACCCGCACGUUCCGGCUGACUCGCUCGACGGUAUACGAAUGGUUUGGGGCCGCUCUCUUUAUCGAGCGUUCGACUCUCGGCAAGCGCGCCAGACGCGUCGGCGAUCGGACCURGCGCCGAUUCCGGCCUCUGGUGACUGUUGGCCGUUGAAGUUCUCGAACAGACCUCUCACGACCCGAUCUGCGACGCUAUAGCUUUGGGUACUUUCAGGACCCGUUCUUGAAACACGGACCAAGGAGUCUAGCAUGUGCGCGAGUCAUUGGGAAUCACUAAACCUAAAGGCGUAAUGAAAGUGAAGGUCUUCCUUGCGGAGACCGAGGGAAGACGGGCGGCGUCGCCUUUAAAAGCGGCCGUUCAGCAUUCCCGGGGCGUCUCGUUCUCAUUGCGAGAAGAGGCGCACCAAGAGCGUACACGCUGGGACCCGAAAGAUGGUGAACUAUGCCUGGUCAGGACGAAGUCAGGGGAAACCCUGAUGGAGGUCCGUAGCGAUUCUGACGUGCAAAUCGAUCGUCGGAACUGGGUAUAGGGGCGAAAGACUAAUCGARCASAUCCRWGAACHACU